rnacentral:rRNA from 1 species
AUUGAACGCUGGCGGCAUGCCUUACACAUGCAAGUCGAACGGCAGCAUGGAGAGCUUGCUCUCUGAUGGCGAGUGGCGAACGGGUGAGUAAUGCAUAGGAACGUACCGUGUAAUGGGGGAUAGCGUAACGAAAGUUACGCCAAUACCGCAUACGACCUGAGGGCGAAAGCAGGGGAUCGCAAGACCUUGUGAUAUACGAGCGGCCGGUGUCAGAUUAGCUAGUUGGUGAGGUAAAGGCUCACCAAGGCGACGAUCUGUAGCGGGUCUGAGAGGAUGAUCCGCCACACUGGGACUGAGACAAGGCCCAGACUCCUACAGGAGGCAGCAGUGGGGAAUUUUGGACAAUGGGGGCAACCCUGAUCCAGCCAUGCCGCGUGAGUGAAGAAGGCCUUCGGGUUGUAAAGCUCUUUCGGCCGGGAAGAAAUCGCACAGGCUAAUACUCUGUGUGGAUGACGGUACCGGCAUAAGAAGCACCGGCUAACUACGUGCCAGCCGCCGCUGUAA